CCCUUAGAUGUUCUGGGCCGCACGCGCGCUACACUGAUGCAUUCAACGAGUUUCUUCCUGGUCCGAGAGGAAUGGGUAACCUUUUGAAAGUGCAUCGUGAUAGGGAUAGACUAUUGCAAUUAUUGGUCUUCAACGAGGAAUUCCUAGUAGACGUAGUUCAUCAGACUGCAUCGACUACGUCCCUGCCCUUUGUACACACCGCCCGUCGCUCCUACCGAUUGAAUGCUCAGGUGAGCCAUUCGGACUUUCAUCAUGCUGGUUUCCAGUUUUGAUGAAGGAAAGUCUUGCGAACCUUAUCAUUUAGAGGAAGGAGAAGUCGUAACA
rnacentral:rRNA from 1 species